rnacentral:lncRNA from 7 species
UGGUUGGUGCUUGGCUGGGUGUUAGUCAGUAGAUGGAUAAAAUGAGUUACUCUGCGACUAUCUAUUGUGAACUCAUAAUUCAUUUCUGAAGCUAAUGAAGAGUACUGAAGAUGGGGAGAAGGAGGCAGUAAUUCCAUAAGUUGCAAAGUGGACCUGGCUAUUAGAUCUGAAGUUGAGGUGGGGGGAGAGAAUGGAGGAAGGAUGCCCAGCUGAUAGACAGCACCUCUACCUUGCAGAAGAUUCAUUCCACUGCACAUUUUGAAUCUGCUGACAAGAAACUUGCAGUGCAAGUAAUCAGAGCCUUCACAAGAUUGAUUUUUGUCCCCUGCUGGUAUAUGGAAUACAGGGGGGAAAAAGGUUCUCAUCUCUCAGUGUAAUCUUAACUAUUUAGAAGCCAUUAUUGCAGGAUUACAAAUCAUCUGUACCUUUCUUGUGCAUCUUAGUUAUUUAUUAGCAAGUCCAGCAAAUUAGUCAGGUAGUAUUAUAUAAUGUUCCAGACCUGAAGCUCUUUCUCAAGUGUGUUGCUCGAUUAUUCCCUCAAUUUGCAAAUGCUAGUAAAUCUAUGAGGUUCCAUAAACAAUACUGCAUAUCGCUGAGUGCAAACAUUUAGCAGCUUUUUUCUAUUUUUCCUAAUUGCAGAGAAGGCUUAGCAAACCUUGUAUGUGUAGCUCACUUUUCAAAGUGACUCGAUAAAAUUGCAGAUGUAUUCUGUCCUAGGUUUGUAAGAAAUGCUUAAAGUCAACUUGUCAUAGAAACUAAAUUGAAUCUACAACCUAUACAGCUCUGGAAGGGAAGAUGGGGGGGGGGGGGAGGGGAAGGAGAAGCAUGAGAUUUAUCUGAUGUUUGGUUGAUGUAUGGCUAUAUAAAAUCUUAAGUAAUACAGAUAAUGUCACACAAUAUUGCAACAUAUAUUUUCAGUUGAACAUUAUAAGACAAUAAGGCAUAAAUGGAAAUUAAAGGGAAAAAAUCUGAAUGGUUGUCAGGGAACACUUUUUCAUUCAAAGAAUCAUAAACAUAUGGAAUGGUGUGUCAGGCAAAGUUCUGAGAUAAGAAGGGAGUAAUUACAAAAUGGAUUUAUAUCCUGAGGAAUAAAGUACAGACAAUGGAAAAGAGCUUUAAGUUGCAUGAUUUUUAACCCUCACUAAAAAUUAACCCUCACUAAAAAGAAAUGCUCAUGAUAAUCAUAUUUAAUAGAUUCCAUCCAGUCUGUUGCAGUUUGCCUGCAUUUCUUUGAUCGCUAAUGGCAAAUGGACAUAUGUAAGUUGUCCACUUGUUCAUGUUUACUGUGUGCUGUUAAUGCGUAUCAGUAUAUCAAAAUGCAAUCAUAGAAAUUGGUAUGUUCCAUAGCUCUAUCCAUACUGAAAUUACUUGUUGAUGUAAAAAUACUGGAUGCCUAAAGCAUAUGAAUCCUUGAUACUGGAAAAUAUGGCACUCAAAGUGACUCUUCUGAAUUCAUGUGUAAAAAUAAUCUCAACAGAUAAAUGUAUUUAAAAAACAGCAUCCAGGGCAAAUAAAAUCAAUAAACAUUUUCAUGUGUGGAACAGGUAAUUAGAGGAACAGUUUCAGAGAAAUAAAAAAAAAAAUUUCCAUUGCUCUUCCAAGGGCGGGUGGGGAUAGCAAGGACAUCAUUCAGUCUUCAAACCACUUCAAGAAAUUCAGAUGGGAGAAAAAACUUUUGUAGGACAUUUACUGUUGAGACUGAGGACUGUGAUAGUGGGUUCACAGAUUCCAGUUUAGUCGUUAUCUCUCAGUUUGUAUGUGUAUAGGCUGGAGUUAAUUGGUUAGAAGAGGAGCCAAUCUGUAGCCCACGUAUAUAACUGACAAAUCCUGUUAGAGGUGUGCUCAGUGGAUUGCCUCUUUCUCUGUCAUCUCACUACUUUCCAGUCUUACUGUUGUCUUCAAUGGACUGAAGUCACUAUGUUUACCUCAGAUAUUUUUUCCUUGGACAGGCAAAGAGAAAUUAAAGCAUACUAUCUAAAUGUAAU